GAUGAACGCUAGCGGCAGGCCUAAUACAUGCAAGUCGGACGGGAUUUGGGAGCUUGCUCCUAAUGAGAGUGGCGCACGGGUGCGUAACACGUAUGUAACCUACCUUAAUCAGGGGGAUAGCCUCUCGAAAGAGAGAUUAACACCGCAUAAUAUAUUUUUAUGGCAUCGUAGAAAUCUCAAAUAUUUAUAGGAUUAAGAUGGGCAUGCGGAACAUUAGCUAGUUGGUAAGGUAACGGCUUACCAAGGCUACGAUGUUUAGGGGAUCUGAGAGGAUGACCCCCCACACUGGUGCUGAGACACGGACCAGACUCCUACGGGAGGCAGCAGUAAGGAAUAUUGGUCAAUGGGCGCAAGCCUGAACCAGCCAUGCCGCGUGCAGGAAGACGGCCCUAUGGGUUGUAAACUGCUUUUGUACCGGAAUAAACCCUUUUACGUGUAAGAGGCUGAAUGUACGGUAAGAAUAAGGAUCGGCUAACUCCGUGCCAGCAGCCGCCGUAA
rnacentral:rRNA from 1 species